AGAUCAUGAUGAGAACAGUGCCUAAGUAGGUCCUUGUAUCUUCCCCAAGCUUCAUAUAAUGACUUACCAUCAAAUUGUGUAAACAAAGUAAUAUCAUUCCUCAUCUU
rnacentral:snoRNA from 1 species